rnacentral:tRNA from 1 species
UGGGUUGUGGUUCAGUGGUAGAGCGCUUACCUAUCAUGUGUGAGACACUGGGUUCAAUCCUCAGCAUUGCAU